UUAAUUAAAACGGGAUCCAACAUUCUCCCACUUGGACCAUAUUGACGCCAUUUGUCAAUGUGGGCCACAACUUGACGAGAUCCCAACAUUCUCCCACUUGGACCAUAUUGACAAGUGAAAUAUCCUUAGCACUUGAAUGUUAUAAUCUUUAUACGCGUGUUCUUUCUAUCCUGAUAUCAAUUUGGGCAAACUUUAUGUUUGAUUACUUUGAGA
rnacentral:lncRNA from 1 species